GUCCCUGUAGCGCAAUGGAUAGCGCGUUGGUAUUCUGAUCCGAAGGUCGUGAGAUCGAGUUCCACCUGGGAUG
rnacentral:tRNA from 1 species